rnacentral:hammerhead_ribozyme from 1 species
AUCCAGCUGAGGAGUCCCGAAUUGGACAAAACGCGUGGCCUGGAU